GCUCAUCUCACCUCUUCCUUUGCUUGACUUUUUCCUCCUUGGAGAUGAUUUUGUUUCUAACACACAGCACAGACAGCAGCACCACGUCCAGCUCCGGAACUCAGCGCCUGCCCAGGGCUGCUGUGUGCUCUGCAGCCACGAGUUGGGAAGGCAGAUGGGAAGGAAUGGAUGUAGAGGGAUGUUGGGCUGGUGAGACCUCAGGGAGUUUGUGUCUGCGGUGGUAAUGCAUUGUGAGCACAGGGGGUAAAGGAGCUCUCACUGCAUCAGGUGGUAAAGAGCAGCAGACCAGGAUGGUCCUUCAGCUCUGCUCGCAUUCGCAGAGCGGGGAAGGCUGCAUGCUGUCAUCUCCUUUCAUUUUGCAUAUGAAACAAAGGUGUUGGAGGAUACAGAAGGGAAAGCCAAUCCUGAUGGCUCAAGGGGACGGGUAGCCUUCACUUCGGGUUAAUGGUACGCUAUAUAUACACAAGGAACGGAGGAUUUUCGUGCCUCGUGUUUUCUUAGAGGCGUUACUUUGUGCCAGUGAAGUGAACACGGGCGUCGCAUUGAGGAGCAGCCGGGAAGCAGCGGCGCGAGCCGCUCACCAGCGCCACCUGGCGGCAAGGGCGGGGAUUACCAGACGUUGUGCUCACGUGCGCCACCUGGCGGCACGGGCGGGAAUCAGCGCGCGUACGCCACGCGCGAGCGCCACCUGGCGGCCGCGCUGAGGAGGGCCUGGAACGUUCUAGAGUGCGCGGGCGGGCCGGAGCCGUGGCCAGCUGCCAUGCGGACCGCCGGGCUGGGAGGAAAGCUCGGCGUGUUGCAUGCUUGUGGACGGCAAUGCGGCACCGGGCAGCGGCCCUCAGUGUCCUUCAGGCAGCCGACGACCCUGCGGUGCUGCGAUGGACCCCUGCGGACAGCCCGGUUCGUGCAGUGCCAACAGCGCUCCUGUCUUCCCUCGUUGAAUGGUUCCAGCUCCAGCUUGGCAAGGAGGGACUGGCAGACAGAUCAGGGAACUGGUGAGCAGGAGGACUGAUGUGAGGAUCACACAAAGCUCAGGGGCAGAGGAUGGAGCCCGCUCCCCCCACCAGCAGGACUGCUUUCCAUCACAGCUGUAACUCUGCACACUCACGGAGAGCGAAGGUGGGAAGGAGUGACCAGAGGUGAUGGCUGCAAAUGUGAAAGAGAAAGCUGAAACAAGGAGCAGCAGCAAAGGGGAAAGCUGCCCUUUAACUCAGGCUGUAUCACAGAGUGAAUUCCUGCCUCCAUCGGUGUCAGCAGAGGAAUUCUGUGAUCAUAUAAAUUACAGAACACCAGCAAGAGGCAGAAUGCAGCAACGUGCAGAGAAGCUGGCCCUGAUCCUGGUGCAGAAGAGCAAUCCUGCUGCUGUCAGAGGAGCUGCACUGACAUAAAUCUGCUGUAAGCAGGAGCAUCACAGAGCCCUGCAUUGGACAUUUUCCACCUUCCAGAGUGAACGGGUGGACUCCUCUGAAGCAGACAAGCCUCAGUGUGCACAGCUGUCCUUCUGAGAUGGAUGUUGCUAUCUGCAGCAGGCAGCUUUGCUGGUGUGCCAUCGCUGUGAGCUGCAGUCUGGAGCUCCAAAAACGUGCAAGAGCACAACUCCUAUAAAACACUGAUCAUUGGGAUCACCAGCACAAGGGAGCAUUCUGUUUGGAUUCUUUGCCCUGGAGGCAAUUGAUGACCUUUCUUCAGCUCCGUGUCAACCUGGCCAUGCAGGGAGACUUCCCCACACUGACACCAGGUAGGAUCCUUCCUGCACAGUUGCUCCCAUGUAGCAUCCAAAGACCUCUCCGAGAUGUCAGGUUGCAGUCCGGAGGGGAAGCUCUGCGCACCGCACGGCAGCUCCCGGGGCUGCACCGCUCCAUUAAGCGCUCCGUGGGAGCCGCGCUGGGGAGCCGGGCCGGGGUGGCUGCCCGUGGGCUGCUCCGGGGGAGCCCCGCCACCCCCGGCACCCGGGCGCCAAAGGUGCUCGUGUUGCUGCUGCUGUUGCUGCUGCUGCUGGCGCGUUCCAUCCCAACUCCAGCCAGAGCCGGGGCAAGUUGAGCCGGAGACGUUUGAGCCGCCGCUGCGCUUUGGAGAGACGGGGGAGCGCGGCGGCACCAUGCCUGCCAUCAAGAAGGAGCGACUUGACAGGGAAGAGCUGGCCUUGGCGGCCUUCAACCAACCCAUGGAGACCCUCCCCGACUACCUCGCCCCGCUGGCCGCCGCUGCCAUGCCGGUGGUGGCCCCGCACCCGCCGGCGUACGAGCAGAUCUUCGCCCACCGCGCGUACCUGGGCUUCCACGAGAGCCCCCACCCCCCGCACCCCCCCCACCUCCCCGAGGACCUGAUGCUGGAGAGGUUCUCCUCCAUCCCGGAUUUCCAGCCCUUCUUUGACAACGGAGAGCCUUGCAUCGAGGUGGAGUGCGGGGAGAACAAGGCGCUGCUCUACAUCAAUAAGUUGUGCCAGGGGAGCAAAGGACCCUCCAUCCGCUACCGGGGCGAGUGGCUCACCCCCAACGAGUUCCAAUUUGUCAGCGGCAGGGAGACGGCCAAGGAUUGGAAGCGCAGCAUCAGGCACAAAGGGAAAAGUUUGAAGACUCUUAUGUCCAAAGGAAUCUUACAGGUACAUCCUCCAAUCUGUGAUUGCCCUGGGUGUCGAAUUUCGUCUCCAGUGAACCGGGGUCGCCUGGCAGAGAAGAGGACGAUCCCCCUGCCCCCAACCAGGAUCCCCAAGAAAGAGCUGACCUCCAUUUUCUCACAUAGUGACGACAGCGAAGAGAGUGACAAGGGCAAUGGUCAGCACCCCGAAGUGAAGCAGGAAGAGGAUCUCCAUAUCAAUAUCAUGAAAAGAAGGAUACACACCCACUGGGAUUUAAACAUCUCCUUCCGAGAGACCUCUUGCAGCCGUGAUAACGACCUCUCCACUAUCAUCUCCAACCUGCAUCAGAGCCGCCAGCUCGUUAUGCCAGAGACCCAGAGCCGCUGUGAAUUCAAGAGGAACAGCGUGGAUGUUGGCUUGGGAGCUGCAGAUGACAUUUUAGGCAAGAGAAGAGUAUGCUCUCCCAACAGCAGCAGUGAGUGCCCGUUAGAGAGCAAGAAAGCCCGAAGUGAGUCCCCAAAGGAAAACUCCCACACGCCUCUGCUGGAGGACUCAGUGACUCAGAUGACCCCAGAGGAGCACUACAGGCGCAUGAUGUCGGCGCUGAACGAGCACGGCACGUUUGAGGAGCAGCAGCAGCAGCGGCUCUACCAGCUGGCCAACAGCAUGGCAGUGCCCAGCCACGGAGAUCUCCUCCGGGCUCGGCAGGAGGUGGCGGCGGCGGCGGCUGCGCGGAACCCGGGAGCGAUGGAAGCUCACAUCCCCACUGCCGGCAAUUCGUCCUCGCAACGCAGGAAGCAGGGCCUCCCCCAGCACAGGGACAGCCACUUCCCCGACAGGGAGAUAACCCACCCGCCGCCUCUGCUCUCGCCCCAGAACGCUCCCCAUAUUGCCUUGGGGCCCCACUUGCGACCUCCUUUCCUCGGGGUGCCUUCAGCCUUGUGCCAGACACCAGGUUACGGGUUCCUACAGCCGGCACAAGCAGAGAUGUUUGCACGGCAGCAAGAGAUGCUACGAAAGCAAAACCUGGCAAGGUUGGAAAUGUCGGCUGAGAUCAUCCGCCAGAAGGAGCUGGAGAACCUUCACCGGCAACGACUGCUGGCUGGUGACCCUCUAAGCCUGCACCCCGGCUUGCCCCCGGACCACCCCGCCCUGCGCAACGUGCACGACAUCCCCGAGGGCCACCCGCUGCGGGACGAGCUGUCGCGACGCAACGCCAUGCUGGUGCUGCGGCACAACAACGCACCGCUGCUGUCCCUCAACCCCAGCAUCCCCAGCAGCUCCACGCCGCCCAAGGAACAGCCGCGGCGGGGCAGCCGGAAGGCGGCACAUCACCGUGCCGAGCCGCAGGGAACCAGCGAGGCCAAGGAAGCGGCGGAGCCGCGGGCGCGGGACGGAGCACAGGACUGUAAUGAUGAGGAGAUGAAGGACUCGGAGAGCGACGCCGACGUCAGCGAUGAGAAAGCAGAGAGCUUGAAGGCAGAGAGCAGCGGCUCAGCCACGGAGCUGAAGGAGUGCAAAGAGACGGGCAAAGGGUGCGAGGGGGGCAAGGAGCUGGGCGAAGGGACCGGCAGCCAGAAUGCGCCCUGCAGCUCCUCCAGCGCUGAGUCCCCCAGCCACCUGCUUGGUGCUGGCAUCAACAAGAGCGAGGUGAAGUACCUGCCGCCAGCCUCCAUCCCGCCGCCUCAGCCGCUGCCUUUCGGCUUCCCCUACACCAUGAGCCCCUACUUCCAUGCAGGCACUAUGGGAGGUCUCUUUCUGGAUGGCGAUGAGAGCCCAGCACUGGAGGACAUCAGCAAAUGGACGGUGGAGGACGUGUGCAGCUUCGUGUCCAACCUGGCGGGCUGCACUGAGUACACUCAGGUAUUCCGUGAGCAGGCCAUUGAUGGUGAGACCCUGCCCUUGCUGACAGAGGAGCACCUGCUGAACAACAUGGGGCUGAAGCUGGGGCCAGCACUGAAGAUACGCUCACAGGUAGGGCCACUUCCCCAGCUGCACUCGGUCGUUCAGUCUGGUUUCAAGCAGGCUCAUUCCGGCCUCCAAAACACCCCACAAGCUCACCUAUCUACCUGAUGAGCUUCUCAUUGCCUUCCAUUAACUGCCAAUGGGGAGCUGGCUGCAGAGGACACAACACACAGGGUGCCAUCCCCAGAGGGUGCCAUGCUGGUAGCUGGUAGCUGGGAUGGCAGCUUGCAUGCAGGCACUGCUCACACAGGGUUUCCCUAACCCACGAGCUGUGCAUUUGUUGUAUGAUGGUAAAACAAUAAUGGUGAGUUUACUACUUUCCCUACAGCCCUCACUGUUUAUGAGGAGUCUAAUAAAAAGGUUCUGUGGGCAAUUGUUCCCCGUGGGUCAAUUCAGCAGGAAAUAAAACUCUUAUGUUUCUUAAAAAACAGUGGAUGCCAAAUAGCUCACAGACAUACCGAGAUUGGAUUUGGUAGGGGAGAAUGUGAGAUACGGGCUGAAGCUAGAGAAACCCUGCUUCAAUUUAAUCAAUAGUGUUUAAAGUUCUAUAAUAAGGCAUGGGGAGCGAGGGGGGGGAGCAGCGUCCCGAUGCUGCUAACUGAAUAAUGCCCCAGUUGUCUGGUUGGAGCACAUGCCUGUGUUUUUGUUUAAGCUCAAAUGUGAACCAGCUGUGUAGGUGCUGGGAAGUUGGGAGGCCUUUGGCCCUUGCUGGGAGGCAAGAGCGGCUGCGGGAAGGGAGAGGCUGCAGGCUCAUGGCUUCCUGUGCACCCCAUAGCCAGACUCUUUCUUUUUUUUUUUCCCCCUCUUCCUCUUAGAGUUGGUCCUGCUGUGCAGAAGUGGGCACGGACCGUGCUGUAGCCUUCCUGGUAGGUCUGGGGUGAGCAGGAGGAGAGCAGAAGGGUUCCAUUGGCCCAGUGCUGCCUGCAGUGACAGCUACCAGGCUGGUAUCCUUCAGCCAGCUCAAAGGGAAGCUGCAGGCAGCAAGGAGCCCCGGUAGGAGGGCAGCAGGACCUGUUGUCACCACUACUACCGCCAGCACUGCAGCCUCACCUGGCCAGGUACAUGGGCUCCAGCUUCCCCUUACUUGGCCAGGUACAUGAGCUCCAGCUUCCCCUUACUUGGCCAGGUACAUGAGCUCCAGCUUCCCCUUACUUGGCCAGGGACACGGGCAUCUGGUUCCCCUGAGACAUGGCUAUGUACAUGGGGUCCACAUUCCCCUUAUCUGGCCAUGUACAGGGGCUCCUGGUUCCCCUCACCUGGCCAGGUAAGCAGGCUGCAGGUUCUCCAUGUUUCCACAAACCCUUCAUGGGACAGCAAGACCUGAGCACUGCAGUGUGGACUUUGGUUCAGGGCCGUGCCGCGAGCUUCCCUUUAUCGAACAGGCACAAAACAAGCAGCAGGAAAACGCAACCCUUGCAUUUAACGCUCCUCCCUUUCCAACAGGUGGCCAAGCGAGUGGGCAGGGUGCUCUACAUGGCUGGAUUCCCCAUGGCUUUCCCCCUGCAGCCCCCAGGGCUCAGGCCACCAGAGAGGGACCUUCCUCCAGCUGAGCUGCGGCC